GACGAACGCUGGCGGCGUACUUAACACAUGCAAGUCGAACGGAAAGGCCCUGCUUUUGUGGGGUGCUCGAGUGGCGAACGGGUGAGUAACACGUGAGUAACCUGCCCUUGACUUUGGGAUAACUUCAGGAAACUGGGGCUAAUACCGGAUAGGAGCUCCUGCUGCAUGGUGGGGGUUGGAAAGUUUCGGCGGUUGGGGAUGGACUCGCGGCUUAUCAGCUUGUUGGUGGGGUAGUGGCUUACCAAGGCUUUGACGGGUAGCCGGCCUGAGAGGGUGACCGGCCACAAUGGGACUGAGAUACGGCCCAGACUCCUACGGGAGGCAGCAGUGGGGAAUAUUGCACAAUGGGCGGAAGCCUGAUGCAGCAACGCCGCGGGCGGGAUGACGGCCUUCGGGUUGUAAACCGCUUUCGCCUGUGACGAAGCGUGAGUGACGGUAAUGGGUAAAGAAGCACCGGCUAACUACGUG
rnacentral:rRNA from 1 species